AAUCUGUAAGCAAUGAACUUUCACCUUAUUGCACAAACACUAAUGCUUUAUGCAGUUUUGCUUUUUUUUUUUAAUGAGCAUUUUAAUAUUUCUAAUUUUGUUUUGUUUUGCUUCAUUUGUAUUAGGGAUGUGCCUGAAUUAUCUGGACAUUCACACCAUAUUCAGAGAGAACCCAGUAUUGGAAACAGCUUACCUUGUUAUAUUUUGUAUGGCUCCCCAAAUCUCUUCUACCUGCUGUUGGUGUAUAUUUGCUGGGAAUGCCCUAGGAGAAGCUUACCAGGAAGUGUGGGGCUGGGGAAAACUGAGCAGGGGACCUGUUUUCAGGUCCCGCCAUUCCUGGUCCUCUAAUUGUGUUUAUGAUGUGGCUUUUUCCAAGUCCUGUUCCUUUGGAGCUAAUUGGGGCAUAUUGUGUGAAAGUCUGGCUUCUGACGUCACCAUUCAAUUGAUUCCCGGCACUGCCUCUCCUGGUUCUCCCACCUGUCUGGUCAUUGCUCCUCAGGCUCUUUUGCUGGAUCUCCAUCCAGGUCGUGUCCAUUAACUGUUGUUUUCCCCGUUACACUGGAAGCUUCUUAAAAGCAAGAACUUAAAAAAACAAAACCCCUCGGUCUCCUCGGGGCGAUGUCUGACAAAUGACAGGCGCAGAAUGCUUAUUUGACUAACUGGAGGAUCACUUACUACAUGACUUCAAGGUGGAUUCAAAUGAACAAGCAACAAUACACACAAGAUUGAAGAUGGCCGCCAAACGUCACUUCAGUGCUCUUUUAAUCACACAAGGGUUAGGCCAUGGCCUACUCCUCUUGCAUAAACCAUGAGGUUAGCUUUUACUGUUGUUUGAAAAUCCACUAAGGAAACAUCUUCGUGGCUUUGUCAUCUCUGCUUCCAAACAAGUGGCUGAUAUCGGGAAACUGGAUGUGUCUUUCUAGGAUAGCUGAGGUUGCGGGCAUACAAUGGACUGUUUCGUUUUGGAAGAAGCAAGCCCAAGAGCUUGCUACCGUUUCUGGUAAACAUUCUGACUCGAAAUUCAGAACAAAUGUAUUGAGGCAUAGCGAAGAUGUAAACGUUUACUAAUUAAGGAUGGCCAAUGAACGAUACCUGUCUG